rnacentral:lncRNA from 1 species
GCUCUAGGCUGCAGCGUGCUUUGUCAUUUGUUCUUCCGCCAGCGCCCAUCGUGAAGACCACAGUUUCCUGUCGCGUGGAUGUGUUUCCUCUCUGGCCAUUGCCAUCCGCCCAAAUCUACAGACAUCCCGCAUGUUCCCGGGCUCGUCUCCCCAAUACAGGGCACCAAGCAUCCUACCAAGGCGAAUCCAUUGACCAGGAUUUAAGUUGAGACUCCCCCAGGACCCCGGGUGCAGCAUCUGGGUCCCCCUGCCCCGCCCUGCCUUGCGCCGCAGCCGCUUCCGUUGUCCUGCCAGGCUGUAGACUGCGCAGCCCUCCUGGAGACAGAUGGAAGCUCCUUGGGUCGACAGAUUACAGCUUCUGGAACCCCCUACUCCCUUCAACUCCGAGAUGGACACCCACUGUCCAGGGAGAGGAUGCCUGGAAAUAACAGCUGGGAUCUACAGUGGCCAAAGAGUUGUCUCCGUCUUGCUACAUCGACAAACUGGUGCUCCUGAGUGAGGAUUGUGCCCUGGGAUGGGGGAUUCAGUUUCUUCAUUUAUAGUUGGAAGUGGGUGAAGGUGAGCCACUUCGGAAGCGUUUUCCUCUCCACUCUGACAACAGGCAAGAGUGAGGGUCCAACAAUACAGAGGAAGUAACGUGUCGCUGCUACUCUUCCAUGCCCAGUGCCAGGAGCGACGGUACACUCCAGAGUGCUGUGCCCUGAUGGGCCUUUGAGUGGCCAGUGCAGUGGAUCAUCAGCCCUGUCUCCCAAGAGCUCCAGUCCCUUCUCCGGAGAGGAAGUGGGUCCACUGGCAGCUCAGGAGGCCAUAGCAGGAUUGUCACGUGUGCUCAACAGUCCUCCUCGGCUUUCCAGAAGAGGCUGGAACAGGGCCCUUGAAGAUGUUUGUGGACAUCAGAGGGCCAAAGACGACACAAAGUGAAACUGGAGACACCGCCCCCCCUUGGCAUCAUGAAACUGCCGAUGUUACUGGCUCAUGCAUGGGAGACACCAGCAUACAAAGUCUUGACACCAACACCUCAGAGGGCUGUGUUCUGUCCCCGUGACCAUCAUCUAGUGCCUGGAAAGACUAGUGACAAGAACUUGUUGCCAACUUCCUAUUACCUCCCUAACAGUUGUGCAAUAAACCCCAUAGGUUAAUUCAGUCUGCCUUUUAAAUCUGUGUCAACCCAUGAAUUCAGGGCUAGGUGUGGAAAAGGAGGCUAGCUCCUGACACGCCUGUGACUUUCCUGUUCUUAAUGCCCCCUGAGGCUUGGGCUUCAGGGUGUUGGGAGUGGACAAGUAGGGCUGGUAGUCUAUAUGAUUUUAGGGCUUGUGAGAGUUGAGAUAGCUGAACAGAGAAGGUCAGAACUUGGGGAAGGUGCCUGUGUCAAUAAAAAAAGGCUGGGGUGUCACAGUCCUAGGAAGUGACGUAUCAUUGCUGAGAACUAGGGGUGUGAAUGGGCAAAUGGACUGGAAUAUAAAAUGUAGAGCAUUUUCCUGACAGGACAGGUUGCUGUAGACAGGAACGAGGGUAUGCUCAGUGACUGGCUUUGGAGGACCUUAAGGAACAGAAGUACUCUGGGUGGGGUGGAAGAGAAGAAAUGCCCUUGAGUGACUUGGAUACCAAUAGGGCC